rnacentral:rRNA from 1 species
CCUACGGGGGGCAGCAGUGAGGAAUAUUGGUCAAUGGACGAGAGUCUGAACCAGCCAAGUCGCGUGAGGGAGGACGGCCCUACGGGUUGUAAACCUCUUUUGCCGGGGAGCAACGGGCGUCACGUGUGGCGCCACUGAGAGUACCCGGAGAAAAAGCAUCGGCUAACUCCGUGCCAGCAGCCGCGGUAAUACGGAGGAUCCGAGCGUUAUCCGGAUUUAUUGGGUUUAAAGGGAGCGUAGGUGGAUUGUUAAGUCAGUUGUGAAAGUUUGCGGCUCAACCGUAAAAUUGCAGUUGAAACUGGCAGUCUUGAGUACAGUAGAGGUGGGCGGAAUUCGUGGUGUAGCGGUGAAAUGCUUAGAUAUCACGAAGAACUCCGAUUGCGAAGGCAGCUCACUGGACUGCAACUGACACUGAGGCUCGAAAGUGUGGGUAUCAAACAGGAUUAGAUACCCGUGUAGUC